CCAUCUUGAGACAGACACAGCGGACAGGGCAAAUGAAUGGCCCGUCACAAAGGGCUAAGCAGAAUGAAGAUACAGUUUGGCAGAACAGAAUAUUGAGAAACCAGCUGAGAGAGGACCCAGUAGAGAUGAUAUUUUUCCCUUUCCCAUCUAAUACAAAACUGCAGUGACUUUAAUCCAAUUCUUGUACUGAGAAGGAAGAAGCAUGUUCUGCCAAUUUUCAGUUCAGCCCAGGAAAACAAAGAAUAUCAAAGAAUAAGAAAAUAGAUCAGAAGUUAACAUGAUAUCUAUGGAAAAAGUCUGAAGAACAGACUCACGUCAAACUGCAGAAAGAAGCCUUUCCCAGAUUCACACAAAGAAAGCGUAGUCAAGUUGUGAACAAGAUGAAGUGUUUUCUUCUGUUAUUGAAUGCAAGAACUUGGGUCAAAUUGUACCUGCAGGUCAGCCAUACUGAAUAGAAAGAGAGGUCAAAUCAUGGAGACUCUGGCAUAAGCUGGCCUAUGAAUCAAGACUGCAUUCUGAAAGGGCUACAGAGAUAUUCAUGGACUGUCAGGUAACUGGGAA